UUGAGCCGAUCACUGCAUUUCGUCAGGUCCUUGCUACUGGAGUUACAACAUGGCUGUUAGACAGAGCUGGACGACGCAUCCUUCUCAGUUCUCAUUAUUUCUACCUCUGGCAUGACUCUAUGCCUUCUUGCCAUUUCUGUGGUAUUUUUUCUCAAGGAUAACAUUUCAUAGGAUUCUAACUCGUACUACAUCUUAAGAAUGAUCUCCCUUGUUGGUAUUGUGGUAUGUGUCAGUUUUGUUUCUUC